ACGGAGAACCGAAACAACUCAAACAUAAGAUAAAAAGUACUCAAAAUGAAGUAUCUUUCCAACACUACUGUUUUGGAUAUUAUUUUCUUCUGACUUUUAAGUACUUUUAACUUAAACUUGAGGUACAUUUGAAACUACUUAUUUUUGAGUUGUUUGAUAGAUGUUGUUUCUGAAACCGUUCAAUUUUUAUUUUGUUUUGUUUCGCAUUCUGAGAAAGUAUCCAAACGCAAGUAUUGAUACAGUACUUAGUUUUGGAUGAAAAUUUUAUUUUUGCGUUAUAGUAGGUUUGGUCGUCGGUUGAAUGCAGGUGCGAUCCGGAUGGGUCAAAACCGAGACUGCCACCCUGGCAUGCAAGGAUCAUUUAGGGAUCAGUAUGGAGUGAUCAUUGCAUUACAGCCUCCGAACGAUGGACGUAAAGAAGGAAUGUCCUGCCGGUAGUCCCUAAACAACGGAAGCACACGGAUUACCUGGAGCAGAUUUGCACAACUGUGCAUUUAAUCAAGACUGUUGGACAUAUUUUUUGUACAGUUUUAUUUGAGAGCAAAUAAAGUGUAGUUUG